rnacentral:lncRNA from 1 species
GUUCUAUCUUCUGGAGGUCAGUAAAAUGGCCUUUAUGACCCUCUGUGGCUCUGCAGUGUGGAUCCAGGUACCAGCACAACCAGGAGGCCCCAGAGCAGGGGCGGGGAAUAGGCAGCCCUCACCAGUCUGCUCUGAUGAAGGCCAAGAAAGUCACUUCUAUGUACUUGAGUCUUCAUCUAGAGGAAACACCAAUGAAUGCUGGCUGCCCCAAAUGCCUUCUGGCCAGUCUGGCUACAUCAGGUGACCCACAGUCAGUCAGGGAGUCAUUUGCUUUGAAUGCAGCAAGCUUCCGUCUCAGUCAGAUCCUGGAUGACUCCUCCCUGCAGCCUCUGUGCAUGCCACACCCCUCCAAAGCUCUUUUCAGUCAGGUCAGUACGGAGCCCCUUCCCCACCAU